rnacentral:rRNA from 1 species
CCUACGGGUGGCAGCAGUGAGGAAUAUUGGUCAAUGGCCGGAAGGCUGAACCAGCCAAGCCGCGUGAAGGACGAAGGUGCCAAGCAUUGUAAACUUCUUUUGUCAAGGGACAAAAUCAGGCUCGAGAGCCUGACCGAGGGUACUUGAAGAAAAAGCAUCGGCUAACUCGGUGCCAGCAGCCGCGGUAAUACGGGGGAUGCGAGCGUUACCCGGAUUUAUUGGGGUUAAAGGGAGCGUAGGCGGGCUGUUAAGUCAGCGGUAAAGGCCCGGGGUUCAACCUCGGCGAGCCGUUGAAACUGGCUGUCUUGAGAUGUCAAGAGGUAUGCGGAAUGCGCAGGGUAGCGGUGAAAUGCUUAGAUAUUGCGCAGAACUCCGAUUGCGAAGGCAGCAUACCGGCGGCGAUCUGACGCUGAGGCACGAAAGCGUGGGUAUCGAACAGGAUUAGAUACCCGUGUAGUC